GUGUGAGAGACCGAGGGUCAGACAAGGGGACGGUCUCUGUUUGCCCAGCCCAGGAGGAUUGUCACACUGGGGCAAAUGUGCAAAGAGCCAAGCAAGAUGCUGCUGGAACAGUCCCAAGCCAGGUCCAAAGUUUGCCUACAGCCCUGACGGGGAGAAGGGGACAACAGAACGACAGGCCACUGCAUCGUGUCCACCCCAGGGCCUGACAGACCUAGACUUUCCAUCAGUCCUGCCCAGGCCUUGUUCUGGGUGCUAUUCCUUCCGACAAGCUUAACACUCCUCUGCUCAGUGACACAGGUGUGCGUGUGUAUGAAAUGACUUGCUCUCUCCUCGCUACGAGGUCUCUUUGGAGGAAAAGUCUAAUAAACAGGAGAAGCAGAAUAUUUACAAACUACACCUGGCCUUUAAGAUAAGGUUUCAUAUAACCUAAGCUGGCCUCGAACUCCUGAUCCUCCUGUCUCCAUCCUCGCACAUCCUGAGAUUGCAGGGACGUGUGCCAACCAUGCCUCGUUCUACACCUUGCUCUUCAGUUACUUUCUUUUAACGCUGUUUCAUCCUGGGCAGCUGGCUCUUUCAGGGGCCCCGGGCACUUCACCUCUGCUUCCUAGUCUGACGAGGAAGAUACCACUUCGUUUCGUCGUGCAUUCACCUAGACACAUGCAUGCCGGGCGAGUGCUCUACCACUGAGCUACAUCCCCUGCCCUCACAUACCCCUUCUUAGCGUGCUGCCCAACAAACACUGCCGCAAAAUCUGUGCGGUAGACUCGAAGCACAUCGGUGGCUGUCACCAGCAGACCCCAGAGCUGAGGAGGGCAGCUGUUCCUACUCUUUGGGCACCUGCUGACUUGAGCUGUCCUGAAUCAACAUCUGACUGACCGAGUCUCCAUCAGGAGUAGUCACCCCCCAAGGCUUAAAUGCAGCAGGAGCAUGGAGGAAGGACUCCCUAAGGAAUCAAACCACCCGGGAAAUAACAAAGUCCUUCUGUUCAGUGUACAGAGCUGCUCAUGUGACCUUGCCUUGGAAACACACUGUAUCAGUGGCUCUUCGCCCACGUGGACAUAAACCUUUAGUAUUAUUUUUGUGUGCUGGGGAUGGAACACAGAACCUCAUAUGUGCUAGGCCACGCCUCACCUGAGCUACACUCCCAUCCCAAUAUCCAGUAAUUUUAUACAGAAUUCAGGGUGUUCCAAGGGCUUCCCGAAGUUCAUUCACAGACCUCAGGUUAAGAGGUGUCAGACUGGAACCCUCUAAGUCCCCUCCACUAACUUGGUUGGAUGGUCCAGCCCUGAGCAGUGCCCUAGCACAAGAAUAUGGAUAGCAUCCUCAGGUAGGUGCUGAUCUUGUGUCAUAGCCUGCUUCUUCCCGACUCUUUCAGGCUAGUCAAAGGCCAAGCUCUUUCACUCUAUGCUGGACACAUGUCAGGCCUAAGUCUAAGCCUUUAGCCAGUGACCACACUUCAGAGACAGAACUGACGCACGCAAGGGUUAGUAUCAGACCGUGCCAAGCACACAUGCACCCUUGCUCCUGACGUGGGGGGUCCUGGCCCUGAGCUCUACUCUCAAAGAUAGACACCUCCAUCCCGGCCUGUCGAGCCUGCCUACAGGUCUGGGGGCCCAAGCUCUCCUUCCCCGCUCCAAUAGACUUGGGUCUUUGGCUUUAAAGCAGCCUAGAGCCCAGUUCCACGCAUUCCUUCCGGAGCGUCUCUGCACAGUGUGCCCAUGUGGCCAUGGAGAUGAAGCCCUGAGGCAUGCAAGCUGUCCAGAGUGGCAAGUCCGUCCCUCCUUCCCACCUCCCAGUAUGUAAAGACCCCAAAUUCCACGGGGGGGGGGGCGGUGCGGGGAGACACUGGGACACUGCUCAUGAGCCAUGUUGGAGCUCAGUCACAGCCAAUGAGCAGGGGGAUGUGGUGGGGUAGGUGGUCAGAUGUGAGAACCAUGGAGAGCAGAGAAGAGGUUAGCAGGGGUUAGUCAUGGCCACACUCCCCUUCCCCUGCCCACAUGCCUUGCCAAUGAUAAUCUUAUCACCACAACAGACUUCAAGUCAGACAAACUUAAAACAAAACAAGACACACUCAGCAAGACACAAGGUAGAGAAGUUUGUUUUUAGUGGUUGCUCUGGAGGAAAACAACAAAACUCGGGGGGGGGGGGAGCAUUUGUGUAGACCAGUCUUUGUAAGGACAGUAUUCCUUGACUCUGCCAAUACAAACUGCUGCCACAGGGGGUUCCCGCCCCAUUCCUGGCCCUCUGGAUGCUGGCCUUGAGCUUACCGACCCCACGACCCCAAGCACCAAUGGUAGGCAGAGCCACAGGAGAACUGCAGCCUGCAGACGCUGGAGCCCGCAGGCUCUAUGGCUUCCCUCGGUCCCCAUCUUCCCUUAGAUAGUCAAAGGGAUACUGUGCCUUGUAAGAAACUGCCACAUACUCAUGACAUUCUGAAGUCAGAGAGAGGAGCAACUGCUGGGCUUGGCUCCCUGUUGGACUAUGGUGGCUGCGGCCCCUCAGAGGCAGUGGGGAUGAGUGGGCGAGGUUACGUUACCUUCCUGGACACAGCAAGGGCAGAAGGAGAGAGGUCUACGCCGUGGAGUCCCGCCACUGGGCUCAACUUCAAAAGGACCAAACAAGGAAGAGGAGACAGAGAGAGACAAAAAGAGGAAGAGGGAGGGAGAGGAGGAGUUUGGAGGUGGAGAGGGACCGGGAGAGGGUGAAAUAAAAACAAGCAGAGGACAAAAACAGAAAAGGUGAGAAAGGAACAACAGGAAGAAAAGAAAAAAAAUCCACAAGAAUGGAGAAGCAGAAACAGGGAAACAAAGUCUACGAAUGAAUUAAGUCCUUUGUUCAAGCACAGAAAUCGAACAAGAGCGGGCCCGGGCUGCAGGCAGCAGUGGCUGGUGAGGGCGUGUAGGGACAUCGGAACAUUGUCACACGGUGGCCCUGGGCUCCUUCCUAAGGAGCACCCACAAGCCUUGGGUAGACCUGCCUCCCUCCAUUCAACAGACUUUGUAAAUAUGCAGCCAACGCUGCUUCUGGGUGUGCAGGAGGUGACUGAGGUGACCAACAAACUCUACAUAAAACAGAUUCAGAUGUCACCACGGGCACGUGUGCUUGAGGAGGUUCAGCUAGCUUUUCCAUAACUCUAAGGGGCAAGGAGGGUCUGUCACCCUUGGCCGUCAUGCCCACAGAAAGGAACUCUGAGUCUGCACAAGCGGCAUCUUACCCUAGUCAUGGUCCUGCAGGGCUGGAGAUACAUUGCUUUGCAUUCUGAACCAGCGGAGUUGGGGGAACUAUGAACACCCAGAAAUGACCUCUAAUUGCCUGGAGCAUCCCUCCCAGGGGCUAAGGAAAACCAACCACCACCUUUUCUUUUGGUUCUCCCACAGCUGAGGGAUGGUGUCACACUGUGGACUGUGAGACCGAAAGGGGGUGAGCUGACAGGGCAGUCCACGACUCAGCAACGCUACUGUUAGAACGGUGAUGGGCAACCGAGAGGAGACAGUGUGCAGAGGCGUCUACAGACCCUGGGGAGACCUGAGCACCAAAGAAGAGGGAGAGGAGCUGAUCAAGGGACCAUCACAGAACCACAGGAGCACACAUAGGACACAGGAAGCCCCAGGAAGGUAAGGCCUUCAGGCCCCGGGAGAACUGGGAGGGAGGUGGCCACGAUGAGAACAGGGCUCAGGCUGAAACAUCAAGCUCCCUCUGGACUGGCCAUUCUAUACUGUAGUGGGAUAAAUGUAGGGACCACAAUUGCUUUUUCCUUUCAAGCCUUGUCCUACUAAGCACUUUGUGCACAGCAAACCUGGUACUUGGGUCCAACCUCCACACCAAAGCCACAGACAGAGUGUGUGAAGUGCUUUUAACCCAUUUCAACAGGUGCGGCCAUGAGGAGCUGAUGCCCACGUCUUUUCCAAGCACAGAGCUGGCAGACCUACUCAAGCCUGCUUGGCUGCGAGGCAUAAAGUCUGUGCAGCUCAGAUACCUGGAUGAAUCCCAAAGCCAAAGGCUAUGGAUUUGUUCCAGAUUAAGAUACAUCAGAUUUGACCAGCCAAGACCACCUGAAAGGUCUCCGAUGACACCAAGGCCCGGAUGAUCCAACAUCCAGAAUGGUUUGAAGGCAACUGGCUCAGACGAUACAGCCUCACGGACUACUCCAUGAUCCUUAAAUUUUCUUUAUGUCCCCAUAAGAUACAGUGUCCCCCUCCAGCAGGAAGUAGUAAGAGAAGCUACGCCCAAAUUCCCAAAUUAUAUGUAAUUUUACUUUGUUAAGGUUAAAACCUUCCUUUUUGAAAAAAAAAGGGGGAAGUGCUGUGGGAUGGUCUGUUUGUCAAGUGUGUUGCUAAUUAGUCAAUAAAUAAAACACUGAUUGGCCAUUGGCUAGCCAGGAAGUGUAGGCGGGACAAGGAGGAGAAUAAAGCUGGGAAGUGGAAGGCUGAGUCAGAGAGCUGCCAGCCGCCACGAUGACAAACAGCAUGUGAAGAUGCCGGUAAGCCAUGAGUCACGUGGCAAGGUAUAGAUUAAUGGAAAUGUAUUAAUUUAAGUUGCAAGAACAGUUAGCAAGAAGCCUGCCACGGCCAUACAGUUUGUAAGCAACAUAAGUCUCUGUGUUUGCUUGGUCGGGUCUGAGUGGCUGUGGGACUGGCAGGUGAGAGAGAUUUGUCCUGACUGUGGGCCAGGCAGGAAAACUUUAGCUACACUUGGUUGUCUCUAGAUUUCCAGUCCCCUUGCUCUAGUGCAACAAGACUCGGUGGGCUGUGCUGCGCCUGUAACAUGUCCAGGGGAAGACAGGAAGGGCUCUGCAUGUGAGGACCCUUCCUCUCGGGCUCACAUUAAUGACUUCUUUUCAAAUUACAAGGCCCAGCUAGUCAAGGAAGUCAAUUGUUAUACUUCUUUGGCUAUAAGAGACCUUUUCUUUUUCAUUUGGCAUUGUGCAUUGGACUCUGGGCCUCUGAGCCUCUGAGCCAUAUUCCCAACCCCAAAAUUGGCUUAGAGAACAAACAAACAGCCAGGCGGUGGUGCAUGCCUUUAAUCCCAGCACUCAGGGGCAGAGCCAGGUGGAUCUCUGUGAGCUCGAGGCCAGCCUGGUCUACAGAGCGAGAUCCAGGACAGGCACAAAAACUACACAGAGAAACCCUGUCUCGAAAAAAACAAACAAACAAACACACAAAAAGAAACAAACAACCCAAACAGUCUCUUUUUAGUUCAGGUGGGGCUUUAAUUUGCAAGUGUCCCGCUUCUGCCUUUUGAGUGCUGGGAUAACCUGUGUGCCUGGCAAAGACACUUUAAUGUGGGUCUCAAGCUUUUAUGUGGCAGGCUAAGAGCUAUGAUGGACUCCAGUGAGGUACUGUGGUGAGCAGGUCCAGCACAGGGCAGGAAUCCGAGUCUGGACGUCUCAGGUGAGGAACGGAGUUCCCAACACUCCAAGUGCUGCUCAAAGCUGUUUCCAGUAAGACUGACGCUGUGGUCCCCAAAUGACAUUUCUGUGUGGCCUUUUAGGGAAACAGAGGUAAAGGGCCAGCCAACUUCUCUAUCUACUUCAAGACCCAGACUUCAAAAGGGCAAUUACUUCUCAAAUAAUGAAUAUUAAAGCAUGUGCCUGAAGAAAAAACCCCAGCAGACUCUGAACAGGGUCAACUGUGGCACCUAUGUCUUCCUCUCUGGAGAGGGCCUGGUGACCCUGGCUCUUUGCUGGAGCACACAAGUGCCUCUCUUCAGAGAGGAGUGCAUCGUUCUUCAUUAGGCAGUAGUGUCUGCCUACAUGGGAGCAGAAGCCACGAGGAGCCGGUGCCGUGGGCAAAUCAGAAUGGCUGACGAGAAGCAAUGAGGGUCUGGAAUGGGGAGCACAGGCAGACGGUGUCUGACUCGGGGAGAGGGGUUUUAAAGAGUCUUCUUUCUGCUCAUUCCAUUUCACCCCAGAAUCCCCUGGCACACUAAAUCCAAGGUUAGAGCUCGGGGUCUGGGGCCACAGACAACGGUCCACUGCAUUUCCUUACCUGAGCAGUGGGUUAAGGACAACAUUCAAGACAUAACACAGACAGUCUAUGCUGCAAAAGCCAGUCUCUCAAGCAGGAGGGGUGGGUUAUGUGGCGGGAAGUGGGUCUGGACCACUCCCUCCACAAUGUCCUGAACGUAAGUUAUGUUUUCACAUGUGGAGAUGACCUCAGAAUCGACACGGACAUUCCUUAGGGAACUGUUAGGAAUAGGCGAGGAAGGGAGACGGGUAUUAGACAAGACGGGGUCUGUUAACUGGGGUGCAAGCGUCAGCCCUUUUUCAGCAUCAAUGACCAUGGGUGGGAGCCCCCCAAAACCCCAGAAGCUGGAGACACUGAAAGGGGCCUGUGGCCAAGUAGACUCCUGGACGUAUAAGACUAGGGACAAAGAGGGCAGAGGCUGACUCCUGCCCCCUACACAGGAGCCCAGGGUCCUACCUUCUAGGCACGUGCUGAACAAGUGCCCUACCUGGCUCUGGGUUCACUUUACUCACGUUUGUGUACAUGUUGCAUAUGUGUACACAUGUACACCCCCAGGCCUGGCUUUUAUUUUACUUACUUGUGUGUGUGUGUGGUAUACAUGUAGGUGACUGUGGGAGUGUGGAGGAAAGAGGUUGGCAGGAGCUGUUUUCCUCAGUCACUGACCACAUUAUUUAAUGUUUUUAUUAUUACAUUUAUUUUUCUUUUUAAAAUUUUAUUUACUUUUAUUUAUGUGUACAUGUGCCUGUCUGUGCAUACGUGUACAGGUGCCCACAGAGACCAGAAGAGAGUGUCAGAUCCCCUACAGCUGGAGCCACAGGUGGUUGUGAGCUGCCUUUCAUGGAUGCUGGAAUUGAACCCGGGUCCUCUGGAUGAGCAGCAAGCGCUCUAAUCCAGUGUGCCAUCUCUGCAGCCCGUUGUUAUUAUAUUAAUUAAUUUACUGUGUGAGGUGGUAUGAACAUGCCACGGCAAAAGUGGAUAACUUGCAGGAGUUGGCUCUUUCUAUCACGUGGGUUCAGACACUUAACCUGAUGCUGAGGCAUCAGGCUCAGCAGCAAGUACCUUCAACCAAGGACAGGCCCACCACCUGAGUUUUUGAGACAGGGUCUCUUACUGAACCUGGAGCUCAGACUAGCUGGACAGCCAACUACAGGAACCCUUUGUCUCUGCUUCUGAGCACUGGGAUUAGAGUGUACAUCACCAUGCCUGGCUUUUUCUUUUUUUAAUGUGGGUAUUGGGGAAUGGAAGUCAAGGUCUCAUGCUCACAUGACAGGCAUUGACUGAGAUGACUGAUUCGUCUCCCAGCUCUGGUUUUUAUUUCUAUAUAUUUUUGUUUUGGGGAUUUUUUUUUUUCUUUGAGACAGUCUCAUAUUAGCUUAGGCUGAUUUCAAA